UUAGGUACUCCUUUUUCGUACUAGUCAAUCACGUGAAAUUUGCAAAAUCUGUCUUAAAAGAUUCAAAUAUUUGAAUUGAAGGACAAUUUAAAAUUUUAUUUUCUGCUCAAGAACAGUGAUUUCACCCUUUAAAUACUUGUAUUUAGUCUCCAAUUGAACAAGAAUUUUAGCCAUUGUUUUGCGCUAAAGUUUUGAAGCGACCUCAUCCCACUCUUAAACUCUUUUUUUGUCCUUGUGUUGCGAUUGUUGGAUCUGAACUUUCUAAUCUUAUCGUUCGAGUUCGAGAAUAGACAUGCGAUUGAAGCACCUGAGUUCACUGCCCAACACAAAUUUGAUGAGCAUUUGGCCUCUAUAUACUCUGCAUGAAGAGACGUGUUGAAAGGAAUGGUGUUGGUUUUGUUUUAGUUAAAAUCAUGUUGCAGAUCAUGUACUUUGGGAGCAAAGAUAUAGAGUUCUGGUUGUAGACACACACAACCUCCCUCCAUGAAGUUUCACUUUUUAGCUUUACGCAUACAAAACAGAGAUUUUAAUUUAGUUUUUUUCCUAAUUAUCUAAUUAGUAUAAUUAUAUGUAUACGUUUCCUUCUAAAUUAUUUUACUGAUGGUUGUGUAAAAAUUUGUCAAGAUCAUGGUUUAAAAGUAAUGUUCUUUGUCGUUUAAAUUUGUGAAACUUGAGAGUACUUACUAUUGUGUUCAAAGACAUGUAUGGUGGCUUGGUUGUUUUGAAUUUGGGAUAAAGUUACCAAUUGCAAGACAAGUAUCUUGAUAAGCUUUGCACGUUUCCGUGUUUUAGAUAGGAUACUCGUUGUAAGAUUUUACUUGGAUUAAGAUUUGACUUGUUCAAUAUUGUUUAAAGUCAAUUCGUUUUACAAAUCUCUUUACUCUUUCUUUCCUUGCAUGAACUUUGGGAGCAAAAAUGGAGUCUCUUCGAAAGACUCUUAGUGUCGCACAUUCUCUUUGUACCGCUAGAUUUUGAAGCAAGCAUCCACUCUUCGACAUUGUGUCUUCCACCUCUUGAUAGGUCGUGCAAAUAGGCAUGGAAAACUAGCGAAGAAUUCUGAAAUUUAUACCUUUUUAGUUUAACAUUUAUGUUAUAUUUGUUUUUAGUGAUGCUUGUGAAUGUCUUAUGCGACACUUUUCUUGCUCA